rnacentral:rRNA from 1 species
AAUAGAUACCCUGGUAGUCCACGCCGUAAACGAUGAGUGCUAAGUGUUAGAGGGUUUCCGCCCUUUAGUGCUGCAGCUAACGCAUUAAGCACUCCGCCUGGGGAGUACGGCCGCAAGGCUGAAACUCAAAGGAAUUGACGGGGGCCCGCACAAGCGGUGGAGCAUGUGGUUUAAUUCGAAGCAACGCGAAGAACCUUACCAGGUCUUGACAUCCUCUGCCAACCCUAGAGAUAGGGCGUUCCCCUUCGGGGGACAGAGUGACAGGUGGUGCAUGGUUGUCGUCAGCUCGUGUCGUGAGAUGUUGGGUUAAGUCCCGCAACGAGCGCAACCCUUGAUCUUAGUUGCCAGCAUUUAGUUGGGCACUCUAAGGUGACUGCCGGUGACAAACCGGAGGAAGGUGGGGAUGACGUCAAAUCAUCAUGCCCCUUAUGACCUGGGCUACACACGUGCUACAAUGGAUGGUACAAAGAGCUGCGAACCCGCGAGGGUAAGCGAAUCUCAUAAAGCCAUUCUCAGUUCGGA